rnacentral:rRNA from 1 species
CCAUUCUUAAAUAUAAAUGAUUGAAAAAGUCAUCAGAGGAUAUCUUGAUAAAAAAGUUAUAGACGUCGCGCGACGAAACAUCAUAGUGAGGCACAUGCCUAUGAACUAUGAGUCUCUUUGGAAAACUUGCAUAUAAUAUUUGUAAAAUCCACUAUGUGAAUUGAAUCAUCUUAGUAACAUAGAAAAAAAUCAAACGAGAGUUCGUAAGUAACGGUGAGUGAAAUCGAAUUUAGCUUAAUGCCAAAACCCAAAGUAGGUGAUCAGUCCCAUAUGGCAUUUAUAAUAAUUUCAAAGUAAUACUAUUAAUUAUGUAUGAAAAUAGGAGUCCCAUCUUCUAAGCUAAAAGCUUUUUUAAUCGAUAGUGAACGAGUACCGUGAGGGAAAGAUUUGAAUCUGUUGAUUUAUAUUUAUUUGAAGCUGAUAAGUACAGCAACAAAGUGCCUUUUGCAUAAUGAGUCAGUAAGUUAAUAUAUGUAGCAAGUUUAAACAUAAAAUAAAGACUUUUUAGUUACAUGUAUUAGACCCGAAGCCAAGUGAUCUAAUCUUGAGCAAGUUGAAGAUGCUUUAAAAAGUAUUGGAGGGCUGAACCCACGUCUGUUGAAAAAUACGGGGAUGACUUGAGAUUAGGGGUGAAAGUCCAAUCAAACUUGGUGAUAGCUGGUUUUCCGCGAAAACUAUCAAAGUAGUGCGUUGCUAGUUUAAAAUGUGGGUAGAGCAACUUACUAAAUUUAGAUUUUGCUAAAUUUUAUUAAACUCCAAACUAUAUUUUAAUUGAAGCAGCAGACAGUCGUUGGGCGACAAGGUCCUUCGUCAAAAGGGAAACAACCCUAAUCGAUAGCUAAGAUCUCAAAAUUAUAAAUUAGUGGAAAAAUGGGAAAUAAUUCGAAUAAACAGAGUAGGCUUAGAAGCAGCCACCUAUUGGAGAAAGCGUUUUAGCUCAUUAUUUUUAUUUAUUUUACCUAUUUAAAAUGUAUGGAGACUUAAAUUUAUAUAUCGAAGCUUCGAAUCAAACCAAAUUUGGUUUAAUGGUAGCGGAACGUCCUGUAGUCUUUUGUGUUAAUGAAAAAUUGCAUAUAUAAAAUCAGGAGUGCUAAUGCUGACAUGAGUAGCGUUAAUCAUGUUGAAAAUAAAUCAUGAUCGUCUAUUGUUCAAGGGUUUCCAGUAAAUUUUAAGUAACUGGAGUUAGUCGGCCCUUAAGAAAAAAGUGAAAACUGUAUUCGACAGGAAUUAUCAAACCACAUGCAUGCAAAAUAGUAUUAUAUUUGUGAAAAAAAAUAAUUUUUUGUAGUUGUCCAUUAAACUGUCAACAACAAAACAAAUUGUUUUUCUGGAAAAUAUGCAUGGAGCUUGACCGUACCUAGAACCGACACAGGUGAACUGAUUGAAAAGAUAAAGACGAAUGAGAUAACUAUGCUUAAGGAACUCGGCAAAUUUACUCCGUACGCUCGCAAAAAGGAGUACCUUUUUAAGGUUUCAAAAAUUAGGGGUAGCGACUGUUUAACAAAAACUUAAAACUUUGCAAAUUCGAAAGAAGAAGUAUAAGGUUUGACGCCUGCCCAGUGCUUGAAAGUGAAAAAUUACGUGUUUAUGCAUGUGUUAUAAACCCAAGUAAACGGCGGUCUUAACUAUAAGGAUCCUCAGGUAGCGAAAUUCCUUGGCGGGUAAAUUCCGUCCUGCAUGAAUGGCGUCACGACUACCCCACUGUCUUUAGCAUAGACUCAGCGAAAUUACAUUGUCUGUGAAAAUGCAGACACCCUGCAACAAGACGGAAAGACCCUAUGAUUCUUUACUAUAAUUUUGCAUCGUAAUAAUUUUAUUUGUAGUACAGUAAAAGUAGAAGUAUAGUUAUGCCAUUUUGAAAAACUACUCUCCAAGUAAAAGAUUACUUACUUAUUAGGAAAUAUGUAAAAAUGGUAGUUUACUUGGGACGAGGACCUCCUAAAGUGUAACGGAGGUGCACAAAGGUAAAUUUUAAUUAGUAAAACAGGCUAAUAUAAAGUGUAAUGAUAAAAAUUUGCCUGACGGUAAGAGUUACAACUCAAACCGAGACGAAAGUCGGUCAUAAUGAUCCGGCAGUAGUGUAUGGAAAUACUGUCGCUUAUCGGAAAAAAGAAACUCUAGGGAUAACAGAUUUAUCAUGGUUGAGAGUUCUUAUCGAUGCCAUGGUUUGAUACCUCGAUGUCGGCUCAUCUUUUCCUGGAGCUGAAACAGGUUCCAAGGGUAUGGUUGUUCGCCAAAUAAUAAGAUACGUGAGCUGGGUUCAGAACGUCGUGAGACAGUUCGGUCCCUAUCUGUUGCGGGAAAAGAAAAGAAAAAAGUCUAUCUUUAGUACGAGAGGAUUGAGAUAUAUUAACCAAUAGUGUAUCGGUUGUAAAGUUUCUUGCAUAGCCGAGUAGCCACGUUACCACUAUAUAAGCGCUGACAGCUUAAAAGCGUAAAAAUAACUUUUUAACUUUUCAAGAACAUUCUAGGAGAUCACUAGAUAGAUCGGUUUAUUAUGUAAUACUUGUAAAAGUAAGUAAAUAAAUACGAAAUGUUCAUUAUAUUUUAGUGUUAUAUUUAAGAACGGGUUAACCCGUUCUUAAACA